rnacentral:rRNA from 1 species
UACGUAGGUGGCAAGCGUUGUCCGGAUUUACUGGGCGUAAAGCGCGCGUAGGCGGUUCGCCAAGUCUGAGGUGAAAUCUCCCGGCUCAACUGGGAGGGGUCCUUGGAUACUGGCGGGCUUUGAGGGGGUAGAGGAGAGUGGAAUUCCCGGUGUAGUGGUGAAAUGCGUAGAUAUCGGGAGGAACACCAGUGGCGAAGGCGGCUCUCUGGGCCCUGCCUGACGCUGAGGCGCGAAAGCGUGGGGAGCAA